GGCCACGUGGCGCAAUGGUAGCGCGUCAGAUUCCAGUUCUCCUGGAACCUCCUGAAGGUUAGGCGUUCGAAUCGCCUCGAGGUCA